UACGAAGGGUGCAAACGUUGCUCGGAAUCAUUGGGCGUAAAGCGCACGUAGGCGGCCUGAUAAGUCGGAUGUGAAAUCCCUCGGCUCAACCGAGGACGUGCAUUCGAAACUGUCAGGCUCGAGUAUGGAAGAGGGUCGCGGAAUUCCCGGUGUAGAGGUGAAAUUCGUAGAUAUCAAGCGGAACACCGGUGGCGAAGGCGGCCUUCUGGACGAUGACUGACGCUGAGACGCGAAAGCGUGGGGAGCAAACAGG
rnacentral:rRNA from 1 species